rnacentral:rRNA from 1 species
CAGUCGCCGCGGUAAUACAGAGGGUGCAAGCGUUAAUCGGAAUUACUGGGCGUAAAGCGCGCGUAGGUGGUUUGUUAAGUCGGAUGUGAAAUCCCUGAGCUUAACUUAGGAAUUGCAUUCGAUACUGGGAAGCUAGAGUAUGGGAGAGGAUGGUAGAAUUCCAGGUGUAGCGGUGAAAUGCGUAGAGAUCUGGAGGAAUACCGAUGGCGAAGGCAGCCAUCUGGCCUAAUACUGACGCUGAGGUACGAAAGCAUGGGGAGCAAACAGGAUUAGAUACCCCGGUAGUCCCUGUCUCUUAUAC